rnacentral:lncRNA from 1 species
GUUUUUUUACUUUCUAAGUUUUCUUGAUCUUAUGGUUAUGUUUAUAGCCAGUGUAUUUAUCACGAGUAAACACAACCCAAAAUCAUAGGUGUGAGUGUAUGUGUCUGUGGGUAACCUCUGGAAAGGGCAAGCCCUGCGCUUCCUACUUCUGUCAAGGCAUUCGGCCCAGUUGGAAAAACACUGUCACAGGCUUAAGUUCAGUAUGGCAGCUGUGGAAGAAGUCACUUUCCAUGAAAGGCCAUUUUUACUGUUCUCUAACGUAUCUCUAAUGUAAGCCUUACACUUACUAUCUUAUCUUGCAU